AUGAACGCUGGCGGCGUGCCUAAUACAUGCCAGUCGAGCGAACAGACGAGGAGCUUGCUCCUCUGACGUUAGCGGCGGACGGGUGAGUAACACGUGGAUAACCUACCUAUAAGACUGGGAUAACUUCGGGAAACCGGAGCUAAUACCGGAUAAUAUAUUGAACCGCAUGGUUCAAUAGUGAAAGACGGUUUUGCUGUCACUUAUAGAUGGAUCCGCGCCGCAUUAGCUAGUUGGUAAGGUAACGGCUUACCAAGGCGACGAUGCGUAGCCGACCUGAGAGGGUGAUCGGCCACACUGGAACUGAGACACGGUCCAGACUCCUACGGGAGGCAGCAGUAGGGAAUCUUCCGCAAUGGGCGAAAGCCUGACGGAGCAACGCCGCGUGAGUGAUGUAGGUCUUCGGAUCGUAAAACUCUGUUAUUAGGGAAGAACAAAUGUGUAAGUAACUAUGCACGUCUUGACGGUACCUAAUCAGAAAGCCACGGCUAACUACGUG
rnacentral:rRNA from 1 species